AGAAAUGCCAGAGGUCACUUCAAACCAUGCUAAGGCAUGCCAGAAGUUCAGUACAAUCAAAGAGGAAAAGACAGAUUGCAGCUGUAAGGGCUUUUAAGUUGCCAUUUUACCAGGAAAAAAAUAAAAUAAAAUUGUUGUCAAUAGUGCAUGUUUCAUCAAUUAAGCAUGAGGAAUCAUAUUAUAAAUCCAAGCUCUGACACAGGAAGGUUUAUCAGGUUUAAGUCGCUGUUGACAUUCAUGCAAUAUGAAAGGUCAUUCAUGUGUGACUAGCGUAUCCAACAAAACACAUCUUUCAAAUUCAUUCCAUUUAAAGCAAAAUUAACAACUUACCUCAUGUCUUGCCUUCAACUUUCCUGCAACAUUCAU
rnacentral:misc_RNA from 1 species